AUGUUUACAUAUGUCAGCACUUCUGUGUUGACAAGAAUUAUCAUUGAUAUGGUCAUAAUUAUAAAUUAAAUUAACUGUUUACAAAACUUUGAAUUUUUCGAAAUACUUAGGAUUUUCUACCCCAGGAAUAGAUUACAUUAGCUGUAUUUUGUACUUUAUUUUGUCUUUUUAACUUAAGCAUCACGGUCGAAUCUUUCUUAAACGAAGGGAGCAUCUGGCGUUCAAAAUUUUGAUCCGGGAAUCUGUGAUAUGUAUAUUUCCAGGAUAUUUCAAAUAUUUGUUCUUUAAAUUUUAUGUAUUUCAAUUGCUGUAUUGUGGGUAUGUCGAUCGCAAAUAUCCGUUUUGCUGGCUCGACUCUCAGUCUCAUAUAAAACUUUGCCCCCGUCAAGUUGAAGUUUUCAGCUCUUCAAUACGGUACUGUUAUUCCUUUAUUAUAUGGACAUUUAUAUUUUGCGUAUUCAAAAGCUGUUUUCUUUCACUUUCAUCAUUUCAUUGAUGCUAAAGUUUUGUCGCAUUUUGUACUUUUCUCUCUCUACUUUCAUUGUAUGCACAAUGUUCCAUUUCAUUUGUGUUUAUGAAUUUAUAAAUUAUGUAACACCUGUGAUCCAUCUAUACCGUGAAGCAAUUUUUCAAGUCACGCUUUAAAAAAUUCAGCAAAAUACAAGUCUUUUUACCAAUUUGCAAUGUAAAAUGCUAGUUUAGUCUACAUAAGACUCAUAAAUGGCGCUCGAAUCAAAUUACAUGUCUUGUUGACUAAAAUAUUUCUAAUCGUCUUAUUCUUCAUUUUUUGCCUCGAUGUCUGUUUUCUCCUUAUUUUGGCUAGGUACCAUUCCCCCUUUUUUUGCAUAUUUCAGAAAAUGUGAAAGGCCGGUGAUCCAUAGGUAACGUAUACGUCGUUUUUGGGGGAAAUUAACUGUUUUAUGUUUUCUAUACACGACAAAAUCUUUCGAAAACAGUAAACUUUCUCUCCAAAUUGCACCGAUUAUAUGUUUGAUUUUACUUUUUUUGCGUGCUCUUACUUGACCGAGUACCAGGAUGUCCUACCACAGAAAAGGUAACCUGUCGAAAAACUGUAAAAUCCGGAGUCGAAAGUUUGUAAUAUGAAAAUAGUCUAUUCAGGUCGGUCGAUUUUCCAAAAAUCUGAAAUUGACAUCUCCAAGGUCAAAUAACUAUACUGAAUCUAUUUAUAAAUGGUUUGGACACGCUUAGACACUUUUGUGUUUUGUUUACUGUUAUAAAUAUCAUUAGAAUGGGGAUUUCAAUAUUUCUUCAUUAUGUAAUUAAUUUGUUGUUCAGUUAAGGUGCCAAAAUAAACUAAGUUGGGAAAGAGGUUUGAGAAGCUCCCCUCAUAUAAUACAUGUUGUGAGUAGUAUUGAUUUAAAUGGACAAUAGACAUCUGCAAACAAUAGGUGAUUUAAACUGUGUAACUGAGUUGACCGUUUCUAACGAAACUCAUGUCUUAGUUUAUUUUACUAUCUUCUGCAGACUGAAAAAAAAUGCACAUCAAAAUCCAGUGCAUUGUGUAAAGUCUGCUGAUACACAGUAUAUGAAGAAAUCGAUCCGGAGUUACUUUUCGGAUACCAGACAUCACGAUCCUAUAUACAAAGACUAUAAGUAUGCCGCAAAAGAAUAUAUUUAUGAAGAAUUCUUGAGAUAUGGACUACGAACUGAAUAUCAUACAUUUCAGGAAGCUUCUGUAUCCACUACUGAUUAUUUCCAAUCAGUUAUCGGUAUAUCAAGAGGCGUUAACUUUGGAACAGCAAAUGACCGGAUUAUUGGACUAGGUGCACAUUACGAUACAGUUAGAGAAACCAAAGGAGUUGAUGAUAAUGGAGCAGGGGUUGCAGCCAUGUUAGAAGUUGUAAGACAAUUGACUGAUAUGGAUAGAAAUGGUGUCAAAAGGAAGAAUACUCUCAUUUUUGUAGCGUUUGAUUUAGAAGAAUAUGGAUCUUGCUACCAAUUGAUGGGUUGCAAACUGCCUCAAGUCCCACUGGCUGGAAGCCGACAUUUUCUUCAGACAUGGCUACCCGCAUGGUUAAGAAUAAAUUAUGGCAAUGCAAUACCACCAGGGAUGCAUGGAGUAAUUAUUUUGGACACUAUGAUGGAAUAUAAUACUUCGGCUAGAUCUCAGAUGAUUCCACCACUAAUAAUAGACGCGUUUAAAACAGCAUUUCCAGAAACGUAUGAUAGUAUAGCUUCUGACAAUUUCCGAGGAGACUUUCUUAAUUUGAUAUACCGGCAACCAACUAACGAUUCAUACUUAGCUGCCGAAUUUCUUUCGUCUUGGAGAGGUCUGGGGAAAGCAAAAUAUGAAAUAGAAUCUCUUCCUCUAUCGUUUCUAAAGUUCAGCACUUUACCAUCUGACGACAAAAACGUCCUCAUUGACUUCAUGCGAAGUGAUCAUGGUAAUUUCUGGGAAAAUGGUUAUCCAGCCAUCUGGUUGACGGACUCGGCCAAUUUCCGAGGUGAUAUGAUACAAUGUUAUCAUCAUGAAUGUGAUAAUCUACAAGUCAUGCUGACCGAUGAAAAUAUCAAUUUCCUUGGAAAAACUGCUGAUGCUAUCGUAAAGACGAUGCAUAAACUUUCAGAACCAUCGGGAUCUGGAACAGCAGAUUCUUCCUAUAAAACUAGCAGUGCAGGUGGCAUUUUUGGAAUAAUAAUAGCAGUUAUAGUAUUACAGAUUCUUUAAUUGUGGCAUGCAUAAUAUGGAGGAGAAAUAAAUCAAAUAAUGAACAGAAGAGUUCAAAUGAAUUUGAAAACCACUCUUAUGGAAACAAAUAAUAAGACAGAUAGAGGAACGUGUGUCCGGGAAAAACUUUGUAUUCUUUAGCAACCCUGUGAAUGAUUACGCGUUCCUAUGAACUAACGUUUCACAUAUAUUAAACCCCUAUAUUUAUGUUUACAGCUUGGCUGGGUGUGGUAUAAUUGAUUUAUCAUAUAAAUUAUAUAAUACCUUUUUAAGAGGGCAAGUUUUUAUAACCUCAAUAUGUGAGAGCAAUAAUUAGUUUAAUCAGUGAUUUAGUCUUUUAAAUGAACGCAUGUUAUUGAGAGUCAUGAGAGAAAGAUAAAGGUUUUUGGCUUCUUAAAACUCUUCGGCAUGCGUGUGUGUUCAAGAUUGUGUCUUGGUACAUGGUAAAACAAACUAUGCAAAUUAGUUUUCACUUUUCAUCAAAUAUUAUGUGUAUAUAUGUAAUUAACUGUUAUGCAUAUUCGUUGAUCCUUUCAAAUAUGCAUACUACGUGGAAUAUUUGGCAUAUGAUUUCUGCAUUACACCAUGAGUCUAGAAAAUAUUGUGAAAGAAAAAAAACAAGACAAUUAUUUUUUUUAUACUCAUAUUUAUCAUUCAAUGCGCAACAUUUGCAAGUAAUCAAAUCAAACAAUAUGUGACUCUAAAUUAUGACAAAAGAUUUCCAUUGACAAUCAUAUAAUAUUGUUUUCUUUUUUUGCAAAACUUCAGCAAAAACCAUAUAGUCGUCACAGUGGGGGAAGAAAAUUGCACGGGUUUUUUUUAUUCGGGAGACAGCCAAGCAGACCUCCGCCAUUCGAAAAAAUAAUAUGUUACUGGGUGUAAGGUUAACACACGUUACUACAUAAAGCUUCCACUUCAAGAUUUGGUCAAGAAAAUGUUCUAUAUGUACAUUAGAUUUGGUUAAGAAAAUGUUCUAUAUGUAUAUAAUAGAUAAAUCUUCAAAAUUUCAGCCAUAAAGGUCAGGCAAUAACAAAAACCAGGAAAAUAAUAAAAACGACAUAUGCACCCAAACAUUUUCCUUAGAAUGGUGGAGCUCUAAGUAAAUCGAUCUAAACUGUCAAAUAACAGCGAUUAAAACUGAUCAUUAGUGCAGUUGUUGCGUAUGCACCUCAUAUAUAGUUUUACCUCUCGGAAAGUUUAGAAGCAAUAAAACAAAAAAGCUCGUACAAAAUGAACUACAUAAAACUGGAAGUGAGACCAGGCCUUACAGUCUAAAACAUUUCGAGUACGAUUAUCGAUAUCACGCAGAAAUCAACCAAUCAAAGUACUGGAUUUGGUGUUUCGAGCAAAAAUGUUGUACUCCAAGUACUGAGUAAAGUUUUAUGACUGAAAAGCCAGGUACUCUGGAAGGGUCAGCAUCUUCUGAAGAUCACUUGACGUUGUCAGUUUGUUUUCGAUCUAUGAGUUUGACUGUCCCUCUGGUAUCUUUAGUCCCUCUUUUAUUUGUUUUUCUGACUAAACAUUUAAAAAAACAUGUCGAGCUCCACAACAUAAAUAAAUAAACAAUACAACAAAGAAAGUUUUAUCAAAAGACCUAAAUGUUCAAACUUGAUACAGGCAUUCGAAUGUUUAAUGGUAUUUUCAAGAAGCUCUCAACUGUUAACGGAAUCAAUGGAAAGACACGUAUACGUCAGCAAAAAUCAAGUUAGACCAAAGUAUCAACAUAUCAACAAAACAAACGUAGACUCAAAUUGCAAUUGCAGACAUUGGAAGCUAGAUAAAACUUAUAUAUCUGUUAAUUAAAAUUAGUAAACUGAUUUGGGUGUUAAAUGGUAAUUAUGAACUUAACAACAUCUGAAGAUUCUGAACCUAAAAACGUUAAGUCUUGUUAUGAGCUUAUGUUAAUUUUCCGAUUUUUUUUUUCUUAGAAAAUUCAGUACCUUUCAGAAAUAUGAAUUGCAGUCAAUCCAGUUCUGUUAAGUAGUUAUUUAGAGUAUUCAGUAUGUUGCUAUUUCUGAUGAAGGUAAAUACAGAAUAGCACUUCGCACGCAUGAAAUUUAUAAAGUGUUGUUUUCAUUUUUUGUACAGGUAAAAAGCAACUUCUAAACAUUCUGAACAUAGACUGAACAGAUCUUAAAUACCUGGAAGCGAAUUGUCUAAACAGUUACUGUUCUGACUUUACCGCAGUGGAUAAGUCUGAUAAUUCACUGAAAAUUAUUAAAUAAAUCAUUGUUUAGCCUUUUAAGAACGCGGAAAAGUCUGAUAAUUCACUGAAAAUGAUUAAAUAUUUCAUUGUUUAGCCUUUUAAGAACGUGGAUAAGUCUGAUAAUUAACUAAACUGUUUAAAUAAUUCAUUGGUCAGUCUUUUAAGAGCAGUUCACACCAAAAUGACCGUUUCAGUUAAAAAUUGGUUUACUAGUGAGAAGCUAUACUAUAGCACGAAAUUAAGAUUGUUCAAAAUAACUUGAAUGAAAUGUUUGCGAUUAAAUCAACCUGAAAUCGGAAAUAUCCGGGGGAAGCCAGUAUUUAUCAGCAAUAUUUGAAUCGUUACAGUUAUUAUUAGUUAAUCAAAUCGAGCCAACAAUAUCAUCAUUUCUUUAUCCUUUCAUCUUUUUUUUCUGGUGGGGAUGAUACACAUAGAAAAUGUCAAUGAAAUGAUCCGUAUGUCUAAUGUUGAAUUAUUUUAGAGGGAAACAAAUAUGUUGAAUUCUAAAAGUUUUUAGGCCUUUGUAUCGUUGCUUGAAUUUUGAAUUUGACGUUUAUCCGACAUCUUCUUUUAAUGAUAAUUGUCAUGUAUGUGUUAUGCACAUGUGUGUGUGUAAGGAAACAAAUAAAACAAAUGUAUCAAAUGUUACACCGAUUUAAAUAAAAUCGGGAAACACCAAUCUCUUAAUAAAAGAUAGAAAAAUA